UACGAGGGGUGCAAGCGUUGCUCGGAAUUAUUGGGCGUAAAGAGCUUGUAGGCGGUCUGUCGCGUCUGCUGUGAAAACCCGAGGCUCAACCUCGGGCCUGCAGUGGGUACGGGCAGACUAGAGUGCGGUAGGGGAGAUUGGAAUUCCUGGUGUAGCGGUGGAAUGCGCAGAUAUCAGGAGGAACACCAAUGGCGAAGGCAGAUCUCUGGGCCGUAACUGACGCUGAGGAGCGAAAGCAUGGGGAGCGAACAGG
rnacentral:rRNA from 1 species